CUCGUUUGUCAUUUUUUAUUUGUUGCUGUUGAAAACAUAGAUAACAAAGAUUUAACUAUUUGAGUACACCUAGUCUUACUUACUAAAGUCUAUUUCCGACACAGGGAAGUUCGUUGAUAACUUUUUUUUUCUCGAAUAAUUGUGAUUUUUUUUAUAUUUAUACCAAAAACGUAGACGUGUUUAUCCUAUUCAGGAAAAAUAAAUGAUUUCAAAAUUAUACAGAACGACAAAUGAAAUUGUAUGUAGAAUAAAUAGCCCAAAAACACCCGUCAGCUGUAUUUCCUCAUUCUCUUUAAAAUAAAACAAAAGAGAGAAAGUAUGUCUUGGCAUAAACAUGCUAACAGGCUCCAUGGUUUCCUUACACAAAGUAUUACUUAUUUUUUUAUUCGGCAAUUGUCCCUAUAUAGCUAUUGCAACGACAAUUGCGAUAUUUUCAAUUUGUGUGUCUCAUAAUAAAUUUAUUUUAAAAAUAAUGUUAAAUCCUCUAUAAUACUUCGUACAAUUACAAAAUUUCCAACCUGGUUAACACCGUACACAAUAAUUAAUGUUAACGUAUUGCUGCAAAUAUAUUAGAAAAGAAAUCGUUGUUCAACUACAGAAGAUCAUCACUAUAUCAUUACAUUGUUUUGGAUCGACG
rnacentral:lncRNA from 1 species